UAAAUAAAAAUAAAAACAAAACGAGUUCAGUCAAAACCCUAGAAAACCGAUUUUCCCCCAAAUCUCACCCCCUGUGGUUCCAUCUCCAUCCCCAACCUCAAGAUAGCAAGUCAUUUUUUUCACGAUGGCUGGUCAGAGGAAUAGUUAUGGAAAGCGAGCCCAUUCCCAAUCUGAUUAUGGUGAUAAUGGAGGAAAUAAGAGGAGAAAUCCUGGUGAUGAUAGGGACCCAUUUACCAUUGAACCAGAGGAUACUGUAUAUCGGUAUUUAUGCCCUGGAAGAAAGAUUGGAAGUAUAAUUGGGCGGGGAGGGGAGAUUGUCAAGCAACUGAGGGUAGAUACUAAAUCUAAGAUUAGGAUUGGUGAGACUGUGCCAGGAUGUGAGGAGCGUGUGGUCACUAUCUACAGCUCCAGUGACGAGACCAAUGCCUUUGAUGAUUCAGAUACUUUUGUUUCUCCAGCUCAGGAUGCUCUCUUUAGGGUGCAUGACAGAGUUGUUUCAGAGGAGGUGCAUGGCGAGGAUUCUGAAGAAGCAAGCCAAGUUACUGUUCGGCUUCUUGUGCCAUCUGAUCAGAUAGGAUGUGUUAUUGGGAAAGGUGGACAGAUAAUUCAGAGUAUACGCAGUGAAAGUGGUGCACAAAUUCGCAUUCUAAAGGAUGAUCACUUACCUUCUUGUGCAUUGAGUUCCGAUGAGCUUGUUCAGAUUUCCGGAGAACCCUCCCUUGUUAGGAAGGCUCUUUAUCAAAUUGCAUCUCGUCUUCAUGACAAUCCAUCCCGGUCCCAACACUUGCUUGCUUCUGCUGUGCCCACUGGAUACUCAUCUGGUGGUUCACUUAUGGGUCCAACUUCUGGUGCUCCAAUCAUGGGUCUAGCUCCAUUGGUUGGUACUUAUGGAGGGUACAGAGGUGACAGUGGAGACUGGUCACGCUCCCUUUACUCAGCCCCACGAGAUGAGGCAUCUUCAAAGGAAUUUUCUCUUCGUUUGGUUUGUCCUAUUGGAAACAUUGGUGGUGUGAUUGGGAAGGGCGGUGUCAUCAUAAAUCAGAUCAGGCAGGAGUCUGGGGCAGCUAUAAAAGUCGAUAGUACUUCAGCUGCUGAAGCAGAUGAUUGCUUAAUAGCUAUUUCAGCAAAAGAGUUCUUUGAAGACACAUUCUCCCCAACUAUUGAAGCAGCAGUGCGCCUGCAACCCCGAUGCAGUGAGAAAGUUGAAAGAGAUUCAGGCAUUGUUUCAUUCACUACCCGCCUACUUGUGCCAACCUCACGGAUUGGCUGUCUUAUUGGUAAAGGAGGAGCUAUCAUUACUGAGAUGAGGAAACUCACAAAAGCUAACAUUCGCAUACUCUCUAAAGAAAAUCUUCCUAAAGUUGCAUCUGAAGAUGAUGAAAUGGUUCAGAUUGCUGGAGACCUUGAUGUUGCUAAGGAUGCUCUUAUACAAGUAACAACACGAUUGAGAGCAAACCUGUUUGAUAGGGAGGGUGCAGUGUCUGCAUUUGUGCCAGUUCUUCCAUACCUCCCCAUGGCAGCAGAUGGUUCAGAUGGUUUAAAAUAUGAUGGCAGAGAUAAUAAAAGACAUGGACGUGGACCUUCUUAUUCUGGUGGAUAUGGUGGCUCAAGUGAUUUGGCCGCAGCUGAUGCCUAUGGAGGUUAUGGCUCACAGAUUGGUGGUAGUGGUAGUGGUUAUGGAGCUUAUGGUGGCUACUCUUCAGGACGCGGUGGUGGUUCUGGGGUAUCUGGUCAGAACCCUGCUUCUCGGCGGAAAAGCUAUGGAUACUAGAGUUUGACAUGGGAACUGCAGUUAGAUACUUAUGGGAUGGAAUUGACUACUAAAGGAGGGUUAUAAAGACAAAUUUCUCAAAACAGCAUGGUGCCGGCAGUUUUCUGCUUGUUCAGGUUAGUUUUUGAGGCCGUCAUCUGAGUGAAAUACUUGUAAUUAUAAAGCAAAAUUUCCUUUGAAGGAUUCACUUGAAAGGUAUGUUGUGGACCAUUCUGAUGCAUGCUUGAAGCUUUAUCAGUGUUGGAGGCUGAUCUGGAUUGGGAUAGCUAUAUCUUGGGACUCCAUCAGUCCAAUGAAUAAUGUUCUGCUUGGCAUAUAGAGCAGGUAACACUUCGUUAAGCACAUCAUGACCAGGCCAGUCAUUUUUGAGGCUACAAAUGAAUGCAUUGACCAAUUUCCUGUACUCGCUUUCUCUUCCUCUAUCUUGUGACUGUGAAUGAAUGUCAUUGUUGCUGAUUUGCCUCCACACCCUUCGGUCUUUUUGUUAGUGUUGAUGCCUUCUUUUCUUUCUUUGGCUUGUUACCCUUCCCCUCUCUCUCUCUCCAUCUCUUGCUGUAUGUGUUUCUUUGUUAGUGUCAGUGCCUUGUUUUUAGUUUUCCUAUUCUUUGGCUCUCUCUCUCCCUCUCGCUCCCUUACCCGCUCUUUUUCCUGGUCUUUUGUUUGUGUGAAUGCCUUGUUUUCCUUUCUUUGGUUUGCUCUUGCUUCUUUUCCUUUUUUGUUUGUCAGUGCCUUCUCUCUCCCUUAUCUCCCCACCCCUUCUCCCCAACUUCCUCCCCCUCUCUUUGUUUCUGAUUGUGUUCCUUGCUGAACUGUGAGUUAUUCCUUCUAGUGGCUUGUUUGGGCUGCUUGAUUGUAUAAGCAGAUGCCUCACCAAAUUGUAAAAUUUCCGAAGAUUGGGCCCUCUGGUGGUAGCAUGUGGAUUCGCCUCUUUCUAUUUGUUUGCUUUUGUUACCCUUUUUGUCUGUUUCUCUUGUGCAAAGUCACCAGGCUGCUGAUACAUUGAACUGGACGCGGACUCUGAUUAACUGAAGAUCGACUCAAGAAACAGUUAAAUGACCUAUACUAACUGGAUGGUGAUCGAUCUGAAUCACCAUGACAACAAUUUUUUGCUCUCAGAUGCAGCACAUUAUAGACGAUGGGCAGUUGAUGGGUCUGUCCUGGAUGUGGAUUCUAUACUCUUCCCCUGUUUUCUUGGUUAAUCAUGGUUGCUGCAGAUAUCAUAUCACAAUCUAAACUGCAGUAUUUGACCUGAUUCUGGGUUCAUUUUGAAGUUCUCUCCAUCCCUGCUUAAGGAGAGGGGGGAGAUGAUCAUAAAAAUAUUAGUUUUUGUUCGAAGUGGAUUAUGAAACUGGUAAACUUUGAAUUUAUAUUGAAUGAAUGUAUGGAGGUUGGAGCUUCCAAUCUUUAGAAGUGGUUCUACU